rfam:Ailuropoda melanoleuca scaffold919_38, whole genome shotgun sequence.
GCCUGGCUGGCUCAGUCAGUAGAGCAAGCGACUCUUGAUCUCGGGGUUGUGAGUUCAAGCCCCACGUUGGGUG